rnacentral:rRNA from 1 species
GAUGAACGCUAGCUACAGGCUUAACACAUGCAAGUCGAGGGGAAACGACAUCGAAAGCUUGCUUUUGAUGGGCGUCGACCGGCGCACGGGUGAGUAACGCGUAUCCAACCUGCCCAUCACUUGGGGAUAACCUUGCGAAAGUAAGACUAAUACCCAAUGAUAUCUCUAGAAGACAUCUGAAAGAGAUUAAAGAUUUAUCGGUGAUGGAUGGGGAUGCGUCUGAUUAGCUUGUUGGCGGGGUAACGGCCCACCAAGGCAACGAUCAGUAGGGGUUCUGAGAGGAAGGUCCCCCACAUUGGAGCUGAGACACGGUCCAAACUCCUACGGGAGGCAGCAGUGAGGAAUAUUGGUCAAUGGGCGAGAGCCUGAACCAGCCAAGUAGCGUGCAGGAAGACGGCCCUAUGGGUUGUAAACUGCUUUUAUAAGGGAAUAAAGUGAGAGUCGUGUCUCUUUUUGUAUGUACCUUAUGAAUAAGGACCGGCUAAUUCCGUG